GAUGAACGCUGGCGGCGUGCUUAACACAUGCAAGUCGAACGGAAAGGCCUCUGCUUGCAGGGGUACUCGAGUGGCGAACGGGUGAGUAACACGUGGGUGAUCUGCCCUGCACUUCGGGAUAAGCCUGGGAAACUGGGUCUAAUACCGGAUAGGACAAUGGUUUGGAUGCUGUUGUGGAAAGUUUUUCGGUGUGGGAUGAGCUCGCGGCCUAUCAGCUUGUUGGUGGGGUAAUGGCCUACCAAGGCGUCGACGGGUAGCCGGCCUGAGAGGGUGUACGGCCACAUUGGGACUGAGAUACGGCCCAGACUCCUACGGGAGGCAGAAGUGGGGAAUAUUGAACAAUGGGCGCAAGCCUGAUGCAGCGACGCCGCGUGGGGGAUGACGGCCUUCGGGUUGUAAAAUCCUUUCGCUAGGGACGAAGCGUUUUUGUGACGGUACCUGGAGAAGAAGCACCGGCUAACUACGU
rnacentral:rRNA from 1 species